UACAGAGGUCUCAAGCGUUUGUUCGGAUUCAUUGGGCAUAAAGGGUGUGUAGGUGGCGCGCUAAGUCGGGUGUGAAAUUUCGGAGCUUAACUCCGAAACUGCAUUCGAUACUGGCGUGCUUGAGGACUGGAGAGGAGACUGGAAUUCAUGGUGUAGCAGUGAAAUGCGUAGAGAUCAUGAGGAAGACCAGUGGCGAAGGCGGGUCUCUGGACAGUUCCUGACACUGAGACACGAAGGCCAGGGGAGCAAACGGG
rnacentral:rRNA from 1 species